rnacentral:rRNA from 1 species
AUUGAACGCUGGCGGCAUGCUUUACACAUGCAAGUCGAGCGGCAGCGCGGGGGCAACCCUGGCGGCGAGCGGCGAACGGGUGAGUAAUGCAUCGGAACGUGUCCUGGAGUGGGGGAUAACGCCGCGAAAGCGGCGCUAAUACCGCAUAUUCUGUGAGCAGGAAAGCGGGGGAUCGCAAGACCUCGCGCUCGAGGGGCGGCCGAUGUCCGAUUAGGUUGUUGGUGGGGUAAUGGCCUACCAAGCCUGCGAUCGGUAGCUGGUCUGAGAGGAUGAUCAGCCACACUGGGACUGAGACACGGACCAGACUCCUACGGGAGGCAGCAGUGGGGAAUUUUGGACAAUGGGGGCAACCCUGAUCCAGCCAUGCCGCGUGCGGGAAGAAGGCCUUCGGGUUGUAAACCGCUUUUAGCCGGGAAGAAAAGGCGCGGGCUAAUACCUUGCGUUUUUGACGGUACCGGCGGAAUCAGCACCGGCUAACUACGUGCCAGCCGCCGCAGUAAGAC